rnacentral:sRNA from 13 species
GAUCCAGAAAUAAAUGGAACUCUACUCUCAGAUCCAGAAAUAAAAGGAACUACACUCAGCUCCACAAUUAAAAGGUACACCACACUCAGCUCCAUAAAUAAAAGGUACACCACAUUCAGAUCCAGAAAUAAAAGGUACACCACACUCAGCUCCAUAAAUAAAAGGUACACCACAUUCAGAUCCAGA